ensembl:lncRNA
GCAUUUCCAAAUUGUCUCUAGUGUUUCAGAGUGUGGAAUUGUGCCCUGCGAUGAGUUGGAACCCUGUCCAGGGUGUCCCCAUCUUGUUCCCUGGGAUAGGCUCCAGGCUCCUCUAGAACCCUGUGUAGGAUCAGUGGUAUGGAAGAGGGAUGGAUUUCUGUCUUCUAAUAAGGCUGUAAAAUUUCUAAACUUUGACACAAAGACUUUUUUUCUGAGCUGAAUAUACUCACCGGAUAUGAAAACGUUUACAGCAUCCCAUCAUUUAAUGAAAUGAAACCACGAAAUGGAAAUUUCAGAUGGCAUAUUCAGUGCAGAGCUCUGCCGAUUUGGUGUGUAUAAACCGCUGCCAGGAGUGUGUGUCAUCCUGAUGGAGCGUUUGAGGGAGAGAAGCUCUGUCUUCA